rnacentral:rRNA from 1 species
GUAGCCUGAGUGCUUGUUCUCUCGUGACGAGCGGGGGACGGGUGAGUAAUGUCUGGGAAACUGCCUGAGGGAGGGGGAUAUCUACUGGGAACGGUAGCUAAUACCGCAUAACGUCGCAAGACCAAAGUGGGGGACCUUCNGGCCUCCUUUCCUCAGAUGUGCCCACAUGGGAUUAUCUAGUAGGUGGGGGAACGGCUCUCCUACGCGACAAUCCCUCGCUGGUCUGAGAGGAUGACCACCCACACUGGAACUGAGACACGGUCCAAACACCCCAAGGAGGGGGCAGUGGGGAAUAUUGCGCAAUGGGCGCAAGCCCGAUGCACCCCUGUCCCGUGUGUGAGGAAGGCCUUCUGGUUGUAAAGAACUUUUUUCGGGGAGGAAGGGGGUGAGGUUAAUAACCUUGCCGAUUGAGGUUUCCCGCACAAAAAGCACCGGCUAACUCCCUGCCAGCAGCCGCGGGAAUACGGAGGGGGCAAGCGUUUAUCGGAAUUUCUGGGCGUAAAGCGCACGCANGCGGGCUGUCAAGUCUGAUGUGAAAUCCCCGGGCUCAACCUGGGAACUGCAUUCUAAACUGGGAGGCUAUAGUCUUGUAUAGGGGGGUAGAAUUCCAGGUGUANCGCUGAAAUGUGUAUAGAUAUGUAGGANUAUAGNUGGCGCANGCGGCCCCCUNNACNCANACNGACACUCACGUGCGANAGCGUGNGGAGCANACACGAUNANAUACCCUGNUAGUCCACGCCGCANACNACGUCUACUUGCAUGCUGUGUCCUUGAGGCGUGUCUUCCGCAGCUAACUCGUUAAUCU